UCAGCUUCUGAAUAAGUUGUGGUCCAUAGC
rnacentral:piRNA from 1 species